UAUAUAUAUAUAUAUAUGAAUGGAGCAAAGAUACUAAGAUAUAUAUAUACUCCAUUCAUGCUGCCUACAUACUGUGGUGGUGCACGCGCUCAACUCCUACUAACCUACUCCGAGUUGAUUGAACCGAACUCGAAACAGCUGUUCUGAAACCCAAAACACAGUUUCACAUUCCGUAAAUCAACUCAGAGUUUAGGGUUUGACUGAGAGUUUGUUAAACCUCCUACUUGAAACAGAGGUAUUAGAAAGGAGUCUAUCCCUGAACUCCGAGUUGAUUUACGGAAUGGGAAACUGAGUUUUAACACUUUUUAUUUAGGCAAAUUUUAAAUUCCCUUUUUAUUAUGAACAGAACAAAUAUUCAAAUACACCAUAUAGUAGCAGCAAUAAGGAUUUUUUUUGUAUGGGCAUGCAAUUUUUGGAGCAGAGGCCAUAAAACUACCACACCGUCCAAUUAUUCUAUUCUUAGGCUUCAGAUUUGUUUUCCCUGGAAUAUGUAACUUUAGCCAUUACAUUUAAAUUAAAUAUUCAUUUAAAUGAUUGAUUCAAGGAAAAGGUGAGAGGGAGGCGACCUUUUCUCAUGAGCAACUCAUGAUACUGCCGUUGGCUAGCUACAGCAAGCUAGCUAAAUUUGCAGAGACUGACACAGGAAACAAAUUCCACUUUAAUCUUUAAAAAAAUGAUGCAGACACUAGAAUUUUGCAGUAAAGUGGAUGAACAAAGACAAUCUGACAGUGGGACUAGGAAUUCAUGGGAAGAUAUAUAAGCAGAGCUGACUGAUGUCAAAGUCAGGGGCAAGUGAUAAAUGAAAGCACAUGAGGAAACCAAGGAGGCAGGAAACACUAGGGCUUUGCACCUCCCCCCAAAACUGGUCACUUUCCAGUCACAGGACAGGGGAUAACCAGCAGCUGCCUUGCUGCAGGAGAAGACUCUAGCUACAGGGAGUAAAUGUACAACAUUUAGUUCCCGCUGUGUGUUUGUGAACUCAUGCAUAGGUGUGGCGUGGUGUGUGUGUAUGUACGCCUCUCGCGUCGCUGAAACCCUUCCUGGUGUGAAAGUGUGUGUGUGUUGCUGUAUAAGUGGUCACCAUUUCUCUAAUGGCCACUGAAAUAACAGGACUACAACCCUCAGCAUGGGGGCACACACACAAACACACACAUUAAAUAAGCUUUUAAAAAGUUUUUAAACUAAACUUGUGACUUUAAGCAUGAACUCUUAAUGAAGAGAACAUGGAUGCUGGUGUUGCAUUACUUCUGCUCAUGUGGUUGCAGGGAGUAAAGCUGCAUACACUUCAUGCCCCCUCUGCGGCAGUAAGGAGUCAGCUAACCAGAGGUGUCAACUGACGUGAAGGUGAAGGACUGACGUGUUGUGUGAGCGAGGUUACACAUUAAGAGUUUGUCCUUAAUGGAAUUUCUUACAUUACUUUUACUUUUAUACUUUUAAGUAGUUUUGUCGACAGUGACACAACACAAACAACUUCCUCUUUCACGCUGACUUUGAGCACUAAAUAGAGGUUCCACAAAGUUGCACGUUUUAGUCAGAGUCCAUACGUUUCAGUAUUUCUCAUGCGUACCACUAGAGAAGUGUGUAUGUGUAAGUUUUGCCAAGAGGCAGGUGGUCUUCCUGUAGCAGCCGAAAGGGGCGUGGUGCACGACUGAAGCAGGACGACGUUUUGGUUCUGAGUAAUGGCCCUAGUAGCACCUCAUGUCAGGAAAACCAAGCCUCAAAUGUGGUCCUAACAUAAACCCUUUCCUACGGAUAGAAAGUAUACAAAACCUGUAAACCCUUUGGCAUGAUCUCAAAAUUAAUUAUACUAGUUUUUAAUGCCUCUUUAAUACCAUGUAGCUUCUCUUUUUAAUGGAGAUCAUUUAAACAAAAUGCGUAAAAAGUGACUUACAUUGCAUUUUGCCUCUCUACCCACGCGCCACCGUCGACCCCAUGAUCCAUGUAUAAUUCAUGUAGUACUAAUAUGUACUUCAGAAUAAUGUUUGUUAAAAAUAAGAACUAUUAAAAGCUGCAGUAUAAGCCUUUAUUUUGCAUUUUUCUUUCUCGCUCGGUUCCUCAGUUGCUAUUUAGUGGCAUGUUACCUGCCCUAAUAGUAUACACUAAAAGGGGCACUGCACCUACUAAAAGAACACUGUAUGUCUUAAUAAUACUUAAACAUAUGUAUUUUGUUUAGCAUCAGAAAAAAGACACCCUGAAGUAGAACAAAGAAUUCCGUAAAAACCUCAAUUUUGUUUCCUUGGUGGUUUUCAUGAAACCAAAGCUUGCACACAGAUAUUUUUCUCUCAAAGCAACGAAAUUAAACCCCUUAAUAAAAUAUUCCUCCAGAUCCCACAUGACAAACACGGGAAGUUUUAUUAUGUCAGUAAAUCAAUGUACGAAUCUUCAAGGAUCGACACACACACAGACACAUGCACACAAACAAACACCUUUAAACGCGUGAACAGGGGACGCGAUCAUCGGUGAGAGACUGGCCUCACCUUGAGACAAGCUCUUACACACCAGCUUUUAUUAGUAGGCUUUGGUGUUGUGUGUGUUUGUGUGUGUGUGUUAAAUGUGUUCAUCAGUUAAAAGGGUGUGUGUGUGCAGUGCUGUAGUGCUAAAAUUAGAGGUGGGUAAACUCUGAAUUUUGUGAUCAUACAGACCUCGACGCGAAGCAACGCAACACAAAGCGUCGCGACUCUGUAAGGCUGUCCUGGCUAUAUUGCAUUAUGUUAUCAGUAAAAGUCAUAUACAAUCAAUGACAAUGAAUACAUGUGUUAGUAGUUUAUUAAAUUUAAAAAAACAGUAAAGAAAAGUAUGUCAACACAACACAACAACCCAAUUGCAGUUUAAGAACUAUCUCCUUUUUACAGUAGUGCCCAGAGGGCCUCCUUGUCCUCCACGUCAGGUCCUGCCUUGCACAGAGGAGCCAUGAACGCCAGAACACGCGUUCUGGGGUUCAUGGCUCCUCUGUGCUUCUCCUCUCUCUAUUGGACCUGGUGUUUCUCCUCUCCCUGUGCUCUCUGCAUCAUUGCCUGUCCUCUCACUGCUUGAAAAAAUAUGAUGAAUUUAAGAGUUAACCUGUUAAGCAGCCUGUCAAUCACACUGACAACAUAAGGAACACUCAUGUACUACCUACGUCAUCAUAAAUAGCCCAUACAGCAUGUUUUUUUUCACAUUGAGAACUGACUUGUUUUCUAAUCUACGCGUCACCAGGCGUUUUUCUUGUCCUUUUACCGUGCAUGACCAGCGAACACAGAGCGCGCGACUACUACCCCUAACCCCCUACCCCCCCGCAACGACUACUACCCACCCCCGUCGGUCGUUCCGCCCGCAACGACUACUACACAACCCCCCCGUCGGACCUUCUCGACCGGCCCGCGAAAUAUUGUCUGACAUGAAACCGGUCCGUGAGGUAAGAAAGGUUGGGGACCACUGGGCUGAUCCACAGCGUGUAUGUGUUUACACACCUCCUGGAUCCUGAUUGGUGUCGCUGCUGCAGCCGCAAGGCGCUGAUUGGAUGCUCACAGACCGUAAUACAGCGCAGAUGAACAUGAUUCAGACUACGGCGUUUAUAUGUUCAACAAUAGGAAACGUUGUUUUAGCUGUUUUAAAAUUACACCAAGUUUAUUUCGGAUUAUUCCAACGGAAUUAUACAAGGCGCAGGGAACUUUGAGCUGCGUAAACGCCACUUGCAGGUGCGUAAACGCUAUUUAUAGGUGCGUAAACGCUAUUUAUAGGUGCGUAAACGCUAUUUCCAAAAUUCAAGAGGUGCGUAAACGGCGUUUACGUGCGUUUACCCUCCACUACAGCCCUGCGUGUGUGAUGUUGUGCCUUUGUUUAAUGUCAUUCUGCGUGCUGUAGAAUGAUGAAAAGGCACCCAGCCCUUUCUCAUCUCCAGGCUUUCCCAAUUAAUUAAAAAUGCUUUGCAUUGGAGAAUGGAUUACUGAAAAGGGUAAAAAUAUACACCACACAAACACACACAAUUAGGCACUUUAUUUACUUGCUUCACAAUUGCAGGCACUUUUCCAUUCCUGAAAUACAUUGUGUGUGUUCUUGGCAUCGGUGUAACGGCAUGCCUGGUUAGUAGCUAGUGUGAAAUGAAAUCAUUGACAUUGAUGAUUAGUUUUUUUUCAGUCGCUAACAAACGGUUGUCCAACCAGUUGUCACAUUUUCAAAACUCUUAGCACAGCAUUGGUCUUUUGUGGCCAUACCAUUCACACAUUUCAUGUCGUUUUCACACAAUAUUCAGUCAGUGAACACAUUUCCACAAUGCUUACAUUUUCUUAACAGACAAGCUAUACCUCCCAACAAAAUUAUGGAUUGUUUUUGUAAUAUUUACAACACACGCCAUCCCACAACAGCAAAAUCAAUAUUCCAAACCUUGGAUACAGUAUAAAAACCUCUGCUUUUGCAAUGAUAUCAGUUCAAAGACAAUAUCUCGAGCUGAUAACAAACAAUUGAAUAAUUGGCACACAGCUGAAAGGAAAAAAAACGGAUUAGCUUUUUACUGGAAUGCUUUUGAAUGUGAACAUUACUGUACAUGUGGACAUACAGUUCCCGAAAAAGAAAUUUAGUGCAAAAACAGUGGAUGGCAUGUUUUGCAUGCAAAUACCUGUAAAACUGAAGCAUAAAGUCUAUGCAGUCUAUGCCAGUUUUUCAAAACCUGGUGUAGGGGAGAGCGAGGCAUGUUGUCACACUUUUCACACUGUCUAACAUUUACUGAGAACCAUACAACACAAUGGUAUAAAAGUAAUACCAAAUGAAAGAAGGAAGUCUUGGGCACAUAUGUUGUAUACGUAACAUUUUCAUAUCUUAUCUGAUUAAAGAGUUGUAUACUGUAGAAUAGAGAGACUGCACUUGAGGCAAGCUUUCUGACCUCACUUGGCGACAGACCAAAAUAAAUGUCAGCUGACCUAAUAAUAUACUCAGCAAGCUGCUUUUCCAAAUCAGGUGAAAAAAUCUUCCUUGGCUUUGUAUAACCAAUCAUUGUAUGGCUGUCCGACUUUCAAUUUCUUCUCUGGUAAUCUUUUGACAAUACCGAGUCAGAGUACGGUAAUUUAUGUCAAAAUCCUUCGCUGUACUUCUGAUUGAUUUGUUCUGCAACUUUACCUGCCUGACUGCCUUUAACAUUAUGUCAGGUGGUGUACUGCCAUGCUCUGUCGUUGAUAAUUUUGAACCAUCUUCCUUCCUUCUUUCCUUCCUUAAUUCCUGCCUUUACUCCCUUAAUUCCUGCGUUUCCUUCUUUCCUUAAUUCCUGCCUUUCCUUACAUCCUUCCUUCAAAAAUAUUAUAGCAAUUACAAAUAAAUUAGCCUAAUAUCACAUUUUCUUGAGAAUGUUCAAUGUGUUUAUUUGUACAGGGGCAAGUUGUCACACGAGACAACUUGCCCCAAACUGACAUGUGUGUUAAUGUUGGCUACAUCUCAAGGUUAGCUUAACAUACCACUUUAGCUAAAGGAUCAAAAGACUCAUUACUGUCUCCUCUAUUUUGUGCAAAAUAAUUAUUUUUAACAUUCAUAUCUAACAAUGUUGUAUUGCAUAAAAUGUAAACACACAUUUUUUACUUUUAAGCAGAAAAAUACGAAAAUUGUGCUAACCUCAGAUUAGACUGACCGUGACCACAUGUGAACAAGAAGUUGACUAUAGAAGAAGAAGUCACACAAAGUGGCUAUUUGAUUUUUGAGAUAGUGCCUCUAGUGUUGGAGUUAUGAAGAGUGCGACAACUUACCCGUGAGACGACAUGCCCCGCUCUCCCCUACUUUCAUUGACUACAUGUACCUUAUGAAGUGAAAACAAGUGUUAUUCUUUGUCGCUAGGACACAUUUCUCAAUACUUAGAUCACUUUUUCAAAACUCUUCACACAGUGAGCCCAACAGAAGUAUAUGUGGGCUAAACUGAGGAUCAAUUAUCAUUGCUUUGGCACAAAAUGUAUUCAAUGACUACAUCUUUCAAAUUACAUAUUUUCUCAGACACAAAAACCUCCAAAACUCUGUACCUACAGGCCAAUUUGCACAUGCUUACAUACUGUUUUCAAAACUGUUAAACUUAUGUUCAAAACAAUAACAUAAUACAAAACUGAAUAAGACAGCAAUUUGCUACAAUUCUACAGUAAUAUUUUAAUGAAAUAUAUUUCAAAUCUUAAAAUGAAAUGCUAUAAAAAAACAAUUGGACCAACCACAGCUGAUUCUCAUUGUAGAUGAACAUCUACACAGGCGUUACUCUUUCAAUUUCAAAACAAAAGGAGACAACUACUGAAUAGUUUUGUAUUGGGAUCUAAACAUGGACCCAGCCAGAGAUGGAGAAGUGGCGAAGAAUACGUAUGCGUGGUGGAAGAAGAAUAAGAGGAAGAUCAAGAGCUGUAGGCUCAGAUGAGAUUAGAGCUACUGUAAUUGAUCAUGUAGUAAAUCAUGGUCUCUCAAUGAGAGAGGCUGGUCUGAGAGUGCAGCCAAAUCUGCACCGCUCAACAGUGGCAUCUAUUGUUAAGGCUGGCGCAUGCUUCUGCGUCGUUGCGUCGACGCACUCGUUUCAAUUUAUGGUUCUAAAAGUCUUGCGUGUGUUGCAGAGCAAUUCACCGCCAAAACAACAGGCGGAGUAACGUGUUUUUGUUGAAGAUGACCUAGAGAGUCACGUCUAUUUAUUUAUUUGUUUAUUCAUUUAUCAUAGAAUUUAUUGCCCCGUGCAUCGGCACUGUUGCUUUUCAUCGCGUACACAUUUGUCCCGUAUUUUCCCCCACAACUUUGUUCACCUCUCGGCCGGCAAACCAGCGUUUGCGGCGAUCUCCCUCUGUGAAUACAACCCGCCAAUGACAGGUUGUAUAAGUGGUCAUAUUUACGCAUUUCUUCCGACAAAAGUUCUUAAAUCUGAUCCGUUCUCUCGUAAACAUUCUUCGUUUUAAUAAUGGCGGUAUCGGGCUAUGAAAGCGGAAAUGUGAGACUCCGUAAAGGAUGUAGUUAGCAGACCAAUGGCAGCCUUGUGCGCUGCGGGAGGCUUGUGUCGCUUGCGUCGAAAGCGACGCAAGCCUAGAAAAAUGUCUCGACACACGCAAGGAUGCAAGGAGGUGUGAAAAGGCACGCAAGGGACACGCAAGGGGCUCUUGCGUCUGCGUUUCCUUGCGUCGCUCUGAAAACGCAGAAGCAUAAACUAGGCUUGAGGCCUACCAUAUCUUGCUCACGAAGGGGACAUGCAAUGGGUGGAACAAUCACACCAGAAGUAGUUCAGUAGUUCAGUAGUGCAUCCAGCUCAUUGGCAGGGUUGGAAUCAUUAUCUGCAUUAUCAAUUACCUAGAUUGUUUUUUCAAGCAGACUUUAAACAGACAACCUACUAAAAGAGAUUUUCUAGUUUUUUUCUCUAGAUAAGCAUAUCCCAUGUAGUUAUAUGCUGAGCACAUAUUGCAACAGUUUUAAGCAUCACCAUCCACCAUGAGGGGUUUAUUGACAGUGUUUAAAAUGUGUUUUAUGCAUAAUGCUUGUGUCUAAAUCAAGGAAAUAGUGUGAGCUUUGCUAUUUUAUGAAAUGUGAACACUGGCCGUAAUUAUAACAGUCCACGUUAGAUUGAGAAAAAAAAGUAUAAUCGCUACCUCUGCCAGGUCAGGAUCAUCAAUAGGAUUCUGGAGGAGUCCGAUUGUCCACGGCUGUUGAGGUGACUGGUUAUGCUCUGUCCUUAAAGGAUGAUUAUCCCAACCCACCCUGAAGAAAACUAGAUCCCUUUGUAAACGUGGGAGGAAUACAUGCUGUGCACACAACAGGUGGAUGCUGUCAGAAGGAUCUAGAACACCUUCAUCUUUAAAGCUGUGACGAGUCUCGUAGUGCACGUUUGUAACAGUCAUCCAAACAUCUCGCCAGCGAUGCUCUAUUCUGGUAAAAGAGAACAUCACAUUACCCUCAAGAAUGUACAGUAAACUAGUACUAGUACUUGAUAGAGUCUUUCACAUAGUUAAUUCCAUUGAUCAUAAAACAAUAUAUUUACCUUUGAUGGUGCACACUCUUUCCCGACAUGAAACUACCCCUUCCACAGCCUCUGAUAGUGAACAUGCAUCGUGCUAUGGCAACAUUUUCCACUCUUUGGUCACCUCUUACCCAAAAGAGAAUAUAUUACAUACUUAAAGAAAAUUAAAGUAUUAUAUUAAAAAUUAAUAAUAU
ensembl:lncRNA